rnacentral:rRNA from 3 species
UCGUGAGGCAUGCUGGAGGUAUCAGAAGUGCGAAUGCUGACAUAAGUAACGAUAAAGCGGGUGAAAAGCCCGCUCGCCGGAAGACCAAGGGUUCCUGUCCAACGUUAAUCGGGGCAGGGUGAGUCGACCCCUAAGGCGAGGCCGAAAGGCGUAGUCGAUGGGAAACGGGUUAAUAUUCCCGUACUUGGUGUUACUGCGAAGGGGGGACGGAGAAGGCUAUGUUGGCCGGGCGACGGUUGUCCCGGUUUAAGCGUGUAGGUGUGUGUUCCAGGUAAAUCCGGUUCACUUUAACACUGAGGCGUGACGACGAGGCACUACGGUGCUGAAGCAACAAAUGCCCUGCUUCCAGGAAAAGCCUCUAAGCAUCAGGUAACAUCAAAUCGUACCCCAAACCGACACAGGUGGUCAGGUAGAGAAUACCAAGGCGCUUGAGAGAACUCGGGUGAAGGAACUAGGCAAAAUGGUGCCGUAACUUCGGGAGAAGGCACGCUGACACGUAGGUGAAGUGAUUUACUCAUGGAGCUGAAGUCAGUCGAAGAUACCAGCUGGCUGCAACUGUUUAUUAAAAACACAGCACUGUGCAAACACGAAAGUGGACGUAUACGGUGUGACGCCUGCCCGGUGCCGGAAGGUUAAUUGAUGGGGUCAGCGCAAGCGAAGCUCCUGAUCGAAGCCCCGGUAAACGGCGGCCGUAACUAUAACGGUCCUAAGGUAGCGAAAUUCCUUGUCGGGUAAGUUCCGACCUGCACGAAUGGCGUAAUGAUGGCCAGGCUGUCUCCACCCGAGACUCAGUGAAAUUGAACUCGCUGUGAAGAUGCAGUGUACCCGCGGCAAGACGGAAAGACCCCGUGAACCUUUACUAUAGCUUGACACUGAACAUUGAGCCUUGAUGUGUAG